CUGAGACAGAAUCAUCCAGUCAAGCUGCUUUCAAAUUCCUCACCGGAACUGUGAGAGGAUAAAUGUUUACUGCUUUGAGCCAACAACUUUGGGAGUAAUUUGUCAUGGAGCAAUAGAUACAUAGCACAGCUUAUCACAGAACUAUUGCUGGAAAACUAUCUUGGAAGCCUGUAUAUCUUGACCAUGAGGUGCCUACCGUAAGAAAAGGUCUGAACCACAUGGUGAGGGGCCUAAGACCUCAUGACAAGGUGUGUAAAUGGGGGAGCCAGAUGAAAGCCAGGUCCUUUGACUCCUAAGCAUGAACUUCACCCAGGGCUCAUAUUUAGAAGAUUGACCAUCCAAGCACCGCAAGGUAAGAGCAAUCGUGACAGAACGACCCUGGAGCUGGGUCCCCCAGACGGGCCCUGAAGGUCUGCACGUCACUGCUUGACCACCCCGC
rnacentral:lncRNA from 1 species